rnacentral:rRNA from 1 species
GCAAAAACACCGGUUCUCUAACGAUCACCGAAGUUAAGCAACGUUCUGCUUGGUUAGUACCUUGAUGGGUGACCGAUUGGGAAUAUCAGGCGCUGUAAU